rnacentral:rRNA from 1 species
UUACCACUUUGUGGUUCAUGACUGGGGUGAAGUCGUAACAAGGUAGCCCUAGGGGAACCUGGGGCUGGAUCACCUCCUUACGAAA